GCCCCCUUAAUGCUCAGUCGGUUAGAGCUGUCGCCCUUAGUGGGUGGCGAGCAUCGGUUCGAAUCCGAUAGGGGGCC
rnacentral:tRNA from 1 species